GACGAGGGACCUAGCGUUGUUCGGAAUCAUUGGGCGUAAAGAGUAUGUAGGCGGCCUUGUAAGUCAGUUGUGAAAGCCCCGGGCUCAACCCGGGAAGUGCACUUGAUACUGCGAGGCUAGAGUACUGGAGAGGUUGGUGGAAUUCUCGGUGUAGAGGUGAAAUUCGUAGAUAUCGAGAGGAACACCGGUGGCGAAGGCGGCCAACUGGACAGAUACUGACGCUGAGACUCGAAAGCGUGGGGAGCAAACAGG
rnacentral:rRNA from 1 species